AUUGUGCCAGCAGCCGCGCGGUAAUACGGAGGGUGCAAACGUUAUCCGGAAUCACUGGGCGUAAAGCGCAUGUAGGUGGUUUGGUAAGUGAGCGAUUAAAUACUGCUGCCUAACAGCAGGACUGUUGCUCAUACUGCCUUACUUGAGGGAGACAGGGGUAAGCGGAACUUUAGGUGUAGGAGUGAAAUCCGUAGAUAUCUAAAGGAACACCAAUGGCGAAGGCAGCUUACUGGGUCUUUUCUGACACUGAGAUGCGAAAGCGUGGGGAGCGAACGGGAUUAGAUACCCUGGUAGUCCACGCCGUAAACGAUGCACACUAGCUCUUGGGGAGUAUCGACCCUCCUUUGGAGCGAAGCUAACGCGUUAAGUGUGCCGCCUGGGGAGUACGAGCGCAAGCUUAAAACUCAAAGGAAUUGACGGGGACCUGCACAAGCGGUGGAGCGUGUGGUUUAAUUCGUCAACAAGCGAAGAACCUUACCAAGGCUUGACAUCUCUGGAAAGCCCAGGAAACUGGGCCGUGCCGCAAGGAGCCAGAUGACAGGUGCUGCACGGUUGUCGUCAGCUCGUGCUGUGAAGUGUCCCGUUCAGUCGGUUAACGAGCGCAACCCCUACCCUGUGUUGAAUUUUUCACCGGGAACUGCCCUAGUUAAUAGGGAGGAAGGGUGGGGGAUGACGUCAAAUCAGCGUGGCCCUUACGCCUUGGGCGACACACGCGCUACAAUGGGGAGUAACAAUGGGUUGCAAAGCCGCGAGGCGGAGCUAAUCCCACCAAACCUCCCCCCAGUUCGGAUUGAGGGCUGCAACUCGCCCCCAUGAAGCCGGAAUCGCUAGUAACGGCCGGUCAGCCAUACGGCCGUGAAUACGUUCUCAGUCUUGCACACACCGCCCGUCAAAUCAAAACCCUGCGUACCCACCUAUCGCUGCAGCACAUCCCCUUCGCAGCUGCGUAUAGCGAGAGCCCGCACGAUCGCCUCACAGUGCCAGCUGAUGGCGAUGCCGCUGAUGCGUAUUUUCUCGUACGCAUUGUGCAAUUCCAACCGCAAUGGUACUUCAGUCAUCUGCUUGAUGCGCUAGUUAAGCCAGCCCGAAAACUG
rnacentral:rRNA from 1 species